CUGCGGAGCACUUAAAAUACCCACGUCCUACAGGAAGAGGACAGAUGAGGCUCUAAAUUUAGCGACAGUGGCCAGGUUUUCAGUCCGAGCUUCAAAUCUAAAAAGAAGCUAAGUUGCUCUCCCAAGCAUGUGUGUGUGAGCUUUGUGCAGGCCUAAGUGGGCCAUGCCUGGUCUUAUUGUCACUGGGAGCUGUACCAUGAGAUGAGACAGUAAAAUGUGGAGGUGUCUUGAGCUCAGAUCAUGAGGCUUGUCCACAAGCUCUG
rnacentral:lncRNA from 1 species